UUUUUUUUUUAAUGAACACAUUAAAAUAAAAAAUUAAAUUUAAUGAUUUUUAACGUUUUAAUAUAUAUAUAUUUAAACGUAAAUAUAAAUAAAAUUAAUAAUAUUUAAACAUUUAUGAAUAUGAAAUAUACACAUAGAGGAAGAGAAAGGGGGAGGAGAGAGAGAUUUUCGCAUAAUUUUUCUGAACAGCUUUUUUAAAAAAUAGUUUUUCACUAAAUUAUCAAAAAUCAUUAAAAACCUCCAAUCUUGUCCAAAAUCACCAGCAUGGUAACACUGUCCGCGGCUGCGCGCCGUCUAUCUAUCUCCUUCACCUCUCUAUACUCCCUCUUUAGCAUCUUUCUCGCUUCGUGGGUCGUGCGCUGCUAACAGCGAGAGCAAAUAGGAUCCUUCAGCUACCAAUCACGUGGUUCUUUUCGUUAGGAUAAACAAAUAUGAAAAGUAAAUAACUUGUCGAUUUCUAUGCGAAGUUUCUUAUCUUUUUAAAGUUUUUUCCUAAAGAAAGUUAUCUGAUUAUUAUACUAUAAAUUAAAAUAAAUUAAAGAAUUACAUUAUUUAAAAUUCCAAAAAUUUCUAACGGAAAAUCUUAAUUGGAGCAUAAAAACAAAAGUUUCGCACGAAGGAAUUCCUUCCACCAUGGUACGAAGGCUGAUAACGAGACGUGAUGUGAUGUGACGUGACGUAGAGUAAGGCAGAGAAAAAUGUAGAGACGUAAGAAAUGUGUUGGAUGUCUCAUCUAAUAAGUGUGUCGAAGAGACGAGCCGAAGACAAAUCAAUAAAUACCCGUGUUU